GAUGAACGCUGGCGGCGUGCUUAACACAUGCAAGUCGAACGGUGAAGGCGGAGCUUGCUCUGCUGGAUCAGUGGCGAACGGGUGAGUAACACGUGAGCAAUCUGCCCCUGACUCUGGGAUAAGCGCUGGAAACGGCGUCUAAUACUGGAUACGAGCUGCGAAGGCAUCUUCAGCAGCUGGAAAGAAUUUCGGUCAGGGAUGAGCUCGCGGCCUAUCAGCUUGUUGGUGAGGUAAUGGCUCACCAAGGCGUCGACGGGUAGCCGGCCUGAGAGGGUGACCGGCCACACUGGGACUGAGACACGGCCCAGACUCCUACGGGAGGCAGCAGUGGGGAAUAUUGCACAAUGGGCGAAAGCCUGAUGCAGCAACGCCGCGUGAGGGAAGACGGCCUUCGGGUUGUAACCCUCUUUUAGCAGGGAAGAAGCGAAAGUGACGGUACCUGCAGAAAAAGCGACGGCUAACUACGUG
rnacentral:rRNA from 1 species